rnacentral:rRNA from 1 species
UACGUUGGGGGCAAGCGUUAUCCGGAAUUACUGGGUGUAAAGGGUGCGUAGGCGGCAUGGUAAGCCAGAUGUGAAAGCCUUGGGCUUAACCCGAGGAUUGCAUUUGGAACUAUCAAGCUAGAGUACAGGAGAGGAAAGCGGAAUUCCUAGUGUAGCGGUGAAAUGCGUAGAUAUUAGGAAGAACACCAGUGGCGAAGGCGGCUUUCUGGACUGAAACUGACGCUGAGGCACGAAAGCGUGGGGAGCGAACAGG